UACGUAGGGACCAAGCGUUGUUCGGAUUUACUGGGCGUAAAGGGCGCGUAGGCGGCAAUUCAAGUCAUCUGUGAAAUCUCCGGGCUUAACUCGGAACGGUCAGAUGAUACUGCUUGCUAGAGUGCGGAAGGGGCAAUCGGAAUUCUUGGUGUAGCGGUGAAAUGCGUAGAUAUCGAGAGGAACACCUGCGGCGAAGGCGGGUUGCUGGGCUGACACUGACGCUGAAGCGCGAAAGCUAGGGGAGCGAACGGG
rnacentral:rRNA from 1 species